AACGAACGCUGGCGGCAUGCCUAACACAUGCAAGUCGAACGAAGGCUUCGGCCUUAGUGGCGCACGGGUGCGUAACGCGUGGUAAUCUGCCCUUUGGUUCGGAAUAACAGCUGGAAACGGCUGCUAAUACCGGAUGAUGACGAAAGUCCAAAGAUUUAUCGCUAGAGGAUGAGCCCGCGUUGGAUUAGGUAGUUGGUGGUGUAAAGGCCUACCAAGCCGACGAUCCAUAGCUGGUCUGAUAGGAUGAUCAUCCACACUGGGACUGAGACACGGCCCAGACUCCUACGGGAGGGAGCAGUGGGGAAUAUUGGACAAUGGGCGCAAGCGUGAUCCAGCAAUGCCGGGUGAGUGAUGAAGGCCCUAGGGUUGUAAAGCUCUUUUAGCCGGGAAGAUAAUGACUGUACCGGGAGAAUAAGCCCCGGCUAACUACGUG
rnacentral:rRNA from 1 species